rnacentral:tRNA from 1 species
UUAUAUUUAGUAUAAUAAAUACACAAAAUUUAGGUUUUUGAGAUAUAGAAGUAUAAU